CGUAAACAACCUGCCUUAAGGAUGGGGAUAACAGACGGAAACGACUGCUAAUACCGAAUACGUUCUAAGCAUCGCGUGAUGCAUAGAAGAAAGGGUGGCCUCUACAAGAAAGCUAUCGCCUUAAGAGGGGUUUGCGACUGAUUAGGUAGUUGGUGAGGUAACGGCUCACCAAGCCGACGAUCAGUAGCCGGUCUGAGAGGAUGAACGGCCACACUGGAACUGAGACACGGUCCAG
rnacentral:rRNA from 1 species